GCCAUGUAGAACCUCUUUUGUGCGUCUCCUCUUUGAUCUGUUUGUGAGGGGAUGGACACAGAUCUUCAUCUGACGGCCUGAACAUCCUCUUCACCAACACGCCUCUGAAAACACAAACACGUGGUAAACACCUGAAAGGAGAGUUUUAAGAUGUGAAAACUCUGAAGAUGAAUGCUGACAGACCACUAGAGGGCGAACUGAUGCAAGGAUUUCCCUGCAGUCCUGCAGAGGAAGCCAUUCAUCACCUUGUCACAGAAGACCUUGAUCUGCGAGUAGGCCCUGUGAAGGGGCUUGUUG